CUUUAGAAAAUAAAAUACAGAUUGUGGGUGCAGGGGUACAUUUUUUUUACAGUGUUGAUAUUUGGGGCAGUGACUUCAAGCAUCAAAAAGGAGAUUAAGCUUGGUAGUGUUAACUCUUAUAAAGACUUGGGUUUACCUUUACCCUCCGACCCACUGCAAUGGAGACUAGGAGGGUUGUUGACACACUGUAGGGGGAAGGCUGGAAGGCUGGUGGUUUUCCUGGCGAUCCUUUUUGUUUUAGCUUGAGAUGAGGUGGAGGUAGAGGUCGGGUUACAGGUGGUGGUUGAGGUGGACUGGGUGGUAUCGAGGUGGGUGGAGGUGGGCUGGGUGGUAUCAAGGUGGGUGGAGGUAGAGGUGGGGUUACAGGUGGUUGAGGUGGACUGGGUGGUAUCGAGGUGGGUGGAGGUAGAGGUGGACUGGGUGGUAUCGAGGUGGGCGGAGGUAGAGGUGGGGUUACAGGUGGUUGAGGUGGACUGGGUGGUAUCGAGGUGGGUGGAGGUAGAGGUGGACUGGAUGGUAUCGAGGUAGGUGGAGGUAGAGGUGGACUGGGUGGUAUCGAGGUGGGCGGAGGUAGAGGUGGGGUUACAGGUGGUGGUGGUCCCUCCUUCCUUCAGUCUCUCAUUAUGGG
rnacentral:lncRNA from 1 species